GAGAAAUACCUCCGCUUUGGAAUCAAGAUGGUGGCUAAUGAUGCACCGCAUCAUCAACCACAGUGUGGACAGGAAGAACAACGUCCACUACCUGAUCAAGUGGAGAGAGCUGGCGUACGACCCAGGCGACUGGAGGCCGACGACAUGGACCUACCGGAGUUUGACACCUACAAGGUGCAGUACUGGAACCACAGAGAGCUGAUGGGAGACGAGGGGAAACCUGGGAAGA